UCUCUCUCGCUCUCUUUCCUCCUGUCUCUUUCUCUCUCCAGGCCCACAUCUGAUUAGUGUCUAUUAAAGAUCAGAGGGGUGAGGAGGAAGUGCCCUGCUGAUCUGGGUGCUGAGUGCUGUGUUGCCUUUGCAUGAGUUUGGCCGCCCCGCUGGCACACCACUGUACCUUAUUACUGUGGUACUGACUUUAUUAAAGCACUCUUGGAACAGGUUGGUUGUGCAGACUGAAAGCCCUCUUACCUAUGGCCGUACAAGCAGCAACUGGAGCAAAAGAGAAUGUGUUGGCCUGAAGAAUGCCUCUCAGCUUUUCCAGGACAGAUGUGGAGGAUGAGUGAACUCCAAGGCUCACAAGUGCCCUACAAUACACAUCUGGUAUCAACAUCUUAAACGUCCCCUCAGCAGAACUAACAAAAAGUGACGAGGUGGUGCAGUGGGAGGAGUGAUCAUCCAACAGCUAGAAGACAGUGUGUUUGAUCCUGGCCACAGGCAUGCAGAGGGUGAGAAUGAUAUUGUAGCAAAACAUUAUUGGAAUAAGAAUUAAAGUAGCUGGUUAAAAAAAAACAUUCAUAUUGUGAAAAUGUGAAGUCAAAGGGUUGUGAUUUUCAUGUCUUCUCAGACUGGUUAAAUAUAACGAGAUUAAACAACUGGAGACACAGAAUGAUCAACAUUAGACAUUAAAUGACAUAGAUUUUUCAAAUAUGGAAUUCAUUCACAGCUAUUGUCAUUAAAGAAAAAUCUCAAGGCCCUUAUUUCCUUCAUAACUAAAUUGCUAGCAUGACCAGCACUGCAACUGUCCUCACAUAAUGCUCACAGAACUGUGAGCCAGUGUGGAGGCAAACACAUAAAUAUUCUGUCAGGCUGUGUGUCCAGAGGGUCCACUUGCAGCAAUGUUAGCGGGCUCUUUGAGGGUGACAUCCAUAUUUCAACACCUAUCUUGACUUCCCCGACCUUGCCGAGUUACACAUUAAUAACACAUUUAUAAUACAUAAUCUCUUUCUUGUUCUUACCGUGUACGGUUUUCUGUUCGGCGCUGAUGGCAUUCGUUUUUAAUUGUGGACAUCAGAAGAAUAAUUUGCUAUGUCUCACACGCUUUAGUGUUUCACUAAAGACCAUUUGCAUCACCUGCCCAGUGUCUAUGGAUAGGGCUUAGCCUUGCUGGUGGUGAGUAUUACUUCAAUGAAUUGAAGGGGACAAUUGUGUGUUAAAGCAAUGAAUUGAGAUAGACAGUCAGCCAAGGUUUUUGCAAGGAUGAAAUUAAAAUCAGCACAGCGGCGAAUGGGGCUGCUUUACCAGAAUAAAUUAAUGCCCAAAGAGUGGGGAGAGGCAGGUUUGCUUUGCAAUGACAAAUGUUGAUUUCCCCCGAGGUAUUUAAAGUGAUUUGACCCAGUCAUUCUUUUAAAUCACAGACAGGAGAUGAUAAAUGUGCUACUAAUGAGGCCUCUGCAUUUUAUCUCUCACUCUGCCUCCUGCAGGAUCGCCCAGGCUCUGAGAGGCGCCUGCUAUGCCUUCACAUGUUUCUAAAAAGCACCCUUAGCCUCACUAAAUCCCAACAAUGCACACUACAGAAAAAACAUCCACGUGUAUCCCUUACAUGCUGUGAAAGAUUGUCAGAAAAUUAAAAUCAAACACGCAAUCACAUUGUUCUGCAAAUGCACCCUUUUUUAAAAGCCCCGCUAAUCUGAAAAAGAGUCACUGAAAUUCAACCCUGUCAGCGUUUGUAGACAUUAUGAUAAUCUUCCUACCAAAGCUCCUGUUUUUUUCUUUUUUUUUUAAACUGUCUCUUCCCUCCAUCUAAAAGGUAAGCACUUUGCCUAUAUACACAUGACAAAAACCAGAGCUGCAGGAGCUGUUAACAGCAUGGCUCUCAUUAUCUGCAGCACUGAGCAUGUUGUGGAAGCAGACGAAGGCUCUUUUCAGGUGCAGAUGUAGAGCAUCAUUGAUAGGGUGUGCUGCUUUCCUCCUUUACAGCCGGCCUCUGAUCAAUCAGUGCUGACAGGGCAGGGGCUUUGUGUGCCACAUAGCGGGACAAAUGUCUGCCAAGGAGCCGGGCACACCUGAAAAGAGGAAGCGGCACACACCACCCAGCCCCUCGCCUGCAGAUUAGCCCCA